UACGUAGGAGGCGAGCGUUGUCCGGAAUUCUGGGCGUAAAGAGCGCGUAGGCGGCACGGUACGACCGGUGUGAAAGCCCCCGGCUCAACUGGGGAGGGUCACCGGUAACGGCCGAGCUACGAGUGCAGGAGAGGGAAGUGGAACUCCGGGAGUAGCGGUGAAAUGCGUAGAGACCCGGAGGAACACCGGUGGCGAAGGCG
rnacentral:rRNA from 1 species